CCGUUAACGAACGAGACCUUAACCUAUUAAAUAGUUGCUUGAACACAUGAAUAUUCUAUUCUUUGUUCGGUUAACUUCUUAGAGGGACUCUUCACUGAGAGAGUGAAUGGAAGUUUGAGGCAAAAACAGGUCUGUGAUGCCCUUAGAUGUUCUGGGCCACACGCGCGUUACACUGACAUAUUCAACGAGCAUUUUCCUGACCCGAUGGGGUUGGGUAAUCUUUUAAAUGUAUGUCGUGCUGGGGAUAGAUCAUUGUAAUUAUUGGUCUUGAACGAGGAAUUCCUAGUAAGUACGGGUCAUCAACUCGUGCUGAUUACGUCCCUGCCCUUUGUACACACCGCCCGUCGCUAAUACCGAUUGAAUGGAUA
rnacentral:rRNA from 1 species